GCCGCUGUUCGCGGAAUUGGAUCGCCGCGCCGUAUCUUACGACAGGAUCGACCUGAGCGAGCACCGGUUCGAUCCCGCGUCGGCGGCGCCA
rnacentral:tRNA from 1 species